rnacentral:rRNA from 1 species
AUUGAACGCUGGCGGCAGGCUUAACACAUGCAAGUCGAGCGGGGGAGGUUGCUUCGGUAACUGACCUAGCGGCGGACGGGUGAGUAAUGCUUAGGAAUCUGCCUAUUAGUGGGGGACAACAUUCCGAAAGGGAUGCUAAUACCGCAUACGCCCUACGGGGGAAAGCAGGGGAUCUUCGGACCUUGCGCUAACAGAUGAGCCUAAGUCGGAUUAGCUAGUUGGUGGGGUAAAGGCCUACCAAGGCGACGAUCUGUAGCGGGUCUGGGAGGAUGGGCGGCCAAACUGGGAGUGAGACACGGCCCAGAGUCCUACGGGAGGCAGCAGUGGGGAAUAUUGGACAAUGGGCGGAAGCCUGAUCCAGCCAUGCCGGGUGUGUGAAGAAGGCCUUUUGGUUGUGAAGCACUUUAAGCGAGGAGGAGGCUACUAGUACUAAUACUACUGGAUAGUGGACGUUACUCGCAGAAUAAGCACCGGCUAACUCUGUGCCAGCAGCCGCAGUAAAAC